CUAAGGCUCCAGAGGAAGCCACGGCUAACUCUGUGCCAGCAGCCGCGGUAAUACAGGGGCGGCAAGCGUUGUUCGGAAUUAUUGGGCGUAAAGAGCACGUAGGCGGCCUUGCAAGUCAGUCGUGAAAGCCUUCCGCUUAACGGAAGAAUGCCAGCUGAUACUACAGGGCUUGAGUACGGGAGGGGAGAGUGGAACUUCUGGUGGAGCGGUGAAAUGCGUAGAUAUCAGAAGGAACGCCGGCGGCGAAAGCGACUCUCUGGCCCGAAACUGACGCUGAGUGUGCGAAAGCUAGGGGAGCAAACGGGAUUAGAUACCCCGGUAGUCCUAGCCGUAAA
rnacentral:rRNA from 1 species